AUUGAACGCUGGCGGCAGGCUUAACACAUGCAAGUCGAGCGGAGAUGAGGUGCUUGCACCUUAUCUUAGCGGCGGACGGGUGAGUAAUGCUUAGGAAUCUGCCUAUUAGUGGGGGACAACAUUCCGAAAGGAAUGCUAAUACCGCAUACGUCCUACGGGAGAGAGCAGGGGAGCUUCGGUCCUUGCGCUAAUAGAUGAGCCGAAGUCGGAUUAGCUAGGUGGUGGGGUAAAGGCCUACCAAGGCGACGAUCUGUAGCGGGUCUGAGAGGAUGAUCCGCCACACUGGGACUGAGACACGGCCCAGACUCCUACGGGAGGCAGCAGUGGGGAAUAUUGGACAAUGGGGGGAACCCUGAUCCAGCCAUGCCGCGUGUGUGAAGAAGGCCUUAUGGUUGUAAAGCACUUUAAGCGAGGAGGAGGCUACUGAGACUAAUACUCUUGGAUAGUGGACGUUACUCGCAGAAUAAGCACCGGCUAACUCUGUGCCAGCAGCCGCAGUAA
rnacentral:rRNA from 1 species